ACACGAGGCCGACGACGUUCCUCACACGCCCGACUUACACAAAACCCCCAUAGAUGAAUUGAAAGCUAAUAUAAAUAGGAUCGAUUCGCAUCAUGGUAAUUUAGAAUCUUUGGGCAGAUUGCAUGAGUUAUAAGCUCGUUAUUGUCAUAAAUAUGUGUACGUUUUAGUUCUGCUUGGCGAUAAAGUUCUUAAGUGUACACAUAUUUAUUAUUAAAUCCAAGUAGGCAUACGGUCGCCGUCAAAUAUAUGUUUACAUUUUUCGCCUUAUUACAAAGGAGUAAGGUGCAAAAGUGUAUAAAUAUCUUUGACGUCGACUGUACAUGUUACAUUUUCAGGCACACGGUAGCAUUGUUUGGUGUCAACAGUAAAAGCUACAAGCAAGUCAAAAUUUAAUACAUACUAUAUGCCUGAAAAAGUUACAUGUACCUACACAUGUAGAGUAUUAAUGUGCACUCGAAUCGAUUGACUCUAAGCGCCAUUUUCACCAUUCCACUAACCCGUUAAACUGUUAACCCAGUGUCAAAAGUUACUGGUAACCAUGGUAACUCCAGGUUUAACCGGUUAACCCCAGGUUAGUAUAUGGUGCAGGUGGCCCUAAGAGUGGAGAUCCUAUUGAGCUCAUUAUGUCGGUAUUCAGCUUUUAAUUGCAUUAUAGUAUAUAGUUCACUUUUGAAUGUCAAUUAAUGUGGUGUCAUAUUUUGUUUUCUUGGUCCUCUGUUCAAUGGCCCACAAUUUUCAAAAGUCUUUUGUGAACAUCUAAGAAUGACUAUUAGAUAGCGGUUUAGGUUUUUACUUCAGAUUAAAAGAGACAAUAAUCAGUAUAAGGGCUUUGAAUUACGGUUAGGUUUAAAAUCUUACUGAGAUAUGGCUCGACGCGGGCGCGAAGUAUUAAGAGUGAUAUGCGCGUUUAACGGUCUGCCAUCUUGUGGUCUGAAUCGCAAACAUAAACAUGUACAUUGCCAAAGCAAGUGCUGCCGUUCUCGUAGUACGUUUUCUUGUGCAUAGUAGGUUCUGCCAUCUUGUGGGCUACAUCGGAAGCAUAAACUUCACAUUUAAGCCUCGUGCCAAAAAAAUGACUGCUCCUAUGCUGCCCCCAAUAGUUCAUGAGCAAUAUCUUCGUGCUCUGUGGCGGGCAUAUGACAGCAGCGUUUUUUUUUAUUAUCUAUGGUACAGUCAUAGAGGUAAGCUAACAUAAAUGUAUUUAUAGCCAAUCGUGGCAAGUGAUUAUUUCUGUUGUUUUACCUGUAGAUUUGUUACUGUGAUCCUACAAAUAUAUAAACCAAUAUGUAUUGUAGUUGUAGUUUAAGAUUAACUUUGUCCGAUGUCCGUUCGUCCCUCUCGCACUUACAUACUUGCUGGUAAAGGACGAAUGGUUUACUGCCUUUUUUAGUUACAUCCAAAUGAAUAAUAGUAUCAGUCAUUCAAAGUACUUAUCGUAAAAUUUGUUGAUAGUAAAUGAAGGCCUGUAAAACCUUUUGCGGCCUAUUAUCGAAGAACUAUAUUUUGUCGACCAAAUGUGGACCUUAUUCUAAUGUCGUAAGGUCUAUUUGGUGUCAGUUGAGUAUGUUUUACUUUGUACAUACGUAUUUGUAUAAAAUGGUACAGUUAGCUGCAAAACAUCUGCUUGUCAGUGCAAUAGUUAAGAUAUUAUUGUGUUGUUGUAGAUAUUUUGCAACUAACUGUAUAUUUAUGUAGUGUAUUGUAUAUAGUAUAUAUGUAUACGUCAAAUACAUAUAAAGAUAUCAUUGUUAACGGUAACAGAGUAAUAUUGCAGGGCAACAAACUAAUUUGGUAAAACUAUGUUUGGUUGUUAUAAUUAAUAUAUCUUAUUAAAUAGUAAAUAAUUUGUAAAUCAUACCUUCUUCCAAUCUACCUCUAAAUUAUAAAAAUGUCUAUUAUUAUAAAAGUUAAACUUAUCACAUUUAAUGUUUGAUACUGUUUUAUACUAACAUGUUGUACAGUCAAUGCAAAUUUUUUUUAACCCUUCAAAGACAUACAAAUUAACAUUUCGAAUGUGUUGUCCGGGUUGUCCCGUAUACAUAUCACACAAUAUGGACAGUAAUUUACAGUUUCAAGGUUAUUAAUUCAGAGGCAAUUUUUUCACAAACGCAUACGAAGGUUUAACAGUGUUAGUUUGGGGGGAAAAGCACCGCUUUUUGCCUAAGUAAUCCCAGAAUCUGUCACAAAGUUUCAUUGAUUAGGUGCCGAUUCGCUGGAUCUUGUGUUCCGUUGAGCCGUACUAAAGUAAAUCCGUCGAAACAGGAAUCCGGCAAAACGGGAACUAUACUCUCAUCUGUAUCUUUAGGUAUUUAAUUAAAAGUCAACAAAAUAUACCCUCAAAUAGCUUCUUAACCCAGUUGAGGGUAGAUGAAAACAUUACAUGAUCAAAAUAAUGUAGGUUAAAGUCAGGUAUUUCAGUGACAGAUCCAGGCGCUUUUGUAUUUGGUUGGUUAACCAAUAAAUGUUAUAACUACCCGAAAAUGUACAAAUUAUUUGUUUACUUUUAUUUAAACACCUAAAGAUACAGAGAAUAAUCGUUUCAUUUCAACUGUGUCGGUCUGUUGCAUAUGUAGAUAUAGAACACAGCAUAACCUCCUUAGGCUGUAAUAUGGGCUUCAUAGGGUCCUUAGCUUACGUAAAUUGUAUUACUCAGCAUUUUAUCCCAUCAAUGUAUUAUUUAUUACAACCUUUCUCACAGCUUUGUAAUUUUUAUACGAUUUUCAAUUAGGUUUACGACUUUUGAAAUUAGUAUUUUUCUUAAGAAGACGUUACUUACGUUGUUCUAGGUCUAGUCGGAUAGUGUUUCGCUUCUUAUUUACGAACGUAGAAAUAGUGGUGCCGCGAUAUUAAUCACCUACUCGCAAAUGCCUUUUUUAUAAAACGUUAUUUUUGCAGAUGGGAAAUUUUUGAAAGAACGAAAUCUAAGACGUAAAUGAGCAAUUCUCAAAAAGUUUCUACAUCACAUCUUAGAUUUCUAUAAAAAUUGGUAUGCUGGUAAAGUACAUGAAGCUGAACAACUUCCACCACAUUUCCCAAAAUGUCCCAGAAAGUUUCUAAGUAACAUUCCUUUUUUGUUACCAAAAGUGUAAGGAAGUCUGGUAACAAAAAAGGAUUUUAUAGAAAUCUAAGAUGUGAUGUACAAACUUUUUGAGAAUUGCUCAAAUACUACGAAGUGGUACAAUAAAGUGUAAAAGUGGGUGCAUAUAAUUUACUUAAAAAUAUGUCCCAUAGUUCUUAAUUCACUGACAUAUGAGCUAUGGGACAUAUUUUGACUAUGAUCAGUGGCGGAUUUGCAACGGUACGAAAAAGUACAAAGACGGGACAGACGAAAUACGUAAUUUUAAGAAGGGGCGUUUGGCGAAGUGUGUAUUUUGCGCCAUAUUAACCUUUUCGCCGCCAUUUACUUGAUAUAAAGUCAGUACAUUUCGUGCUCUACGCCACGACUUGAUAUGUUACACGAGUUGCUUACGUGCAAAUGUUGCUUGGCGUUGAUGACACUUUAUUAAAUCAUUGACGUGGCGGCGAAAAGGUUAAAAUACAUAAUAGGAUUCAUAUUUCAUAAUAACCAGUGGCUACUAUAGUUUAUUAGUACUUUUGUUUGCCAUAGCCUACAGUACAAAUUUAAUUUUGCAAAUUUUUCUUGUUAUGUUUACCCUUAACAUUAGGCAUAUCGGUGUUAUAAAUUAAACUUUAUUGCCUAACAAUUAGGUUGAAACUUGGUUGUUUGUUUUAUAUUAUUCAGAUAUUUCUUGAGUCUCAAAUAACUACAUAGAAGUGUAGUGAUUAAUAUUUGUAUGUUUCGGAAAUAAAACAGUCAUCGAAAUAUA